UACGGGGGGGGCAAGCGUUGUUCGGAAUUACUGGGCGUAAAGGGCUCGUAGGCGGCCAACUAAGUCAGACGUGAAAUCCCUCGGCUUAACCGGGGAACUGCGUCUGAUACUGGAUGGCUUGAGGUUGGGAGAGGGAUGCGGAAUUCCAGGUGUAGCGGUGAAAUGCGUAGAUAUCUGGAGGAACACCGGUGGCGAAGGCGGCAUCCUGGACCAUAACUGACGCUGAGACACGAAAGCGUGGGUAGCAAACAGG
rnacentral:rRNA from 1 species